rnacentral:rRNA from 1 species
AUUGAACGCUGGCGGCAGGCUUAACACAUGCAAGUCGAGCGGAGAUGAGGUGCUUGCACCUUAUCUUAGCGGCGGACGGGUGAGUAAUGCUUAGGAAUCUGCCUAUUAGUGGGGGACAACAUUCCGAAAGGAAUGCUAAUACCGCAUACGUCCUACGGGAGAAAGCAGGGGAUCUUCGGACCUUGCGCUAAUAGAUGAGCAUAAGUCGGAUUAGCUAGUUGGUGGGGUAAAGGCCUACCAAGGCGACGAUCUGUAGCGGGUCUGAGAGGAUGAUCCGCCACACUGGGACUGAGACACGGCCCAGACUCCUACGGGAGGCAGCAGUGGGGAAUAUUGGACAAUGGGGGGAACCCUGAUCCAGCCAUGCCGCGUGUGUGAAGAAGGCCUUAUGGUUGUAAAGCACUUUAAGCGAGGAGGAGGCUACUAAGACUAAUACUCUUGGAUAGUGGGCGUUACUCGCAGAAUAAGCACCGGCUAACUCUGUGCCAGCAGCCGCGGUAAGAC